rnacentral:rRNA from 1 species
UACGUAGGGUGCGAGCGUUGUCCGGAAUUAUUGGGCGUAAAGAGCUCGUAGGCGGUGUGUCACGUCGGCCGUGAAAACCUGCAGCUUAACUGUGGGCGUGCGGUCGAUACGGGCAUCACUGGAGUUCGGCAGGGGAGACUGGAAUUCCUGGUGUAGCGGUGAAAUGCGCAGAUAUCAGGAGGAACACCGGUGGCGAAGGCGGCUACCUGGCCUAAGACUGACGCUGAGGUGCGAAAGCGUGGGGAGCGAAUGGG